UACGGAGGGUGCGAGAGUUAUCCGGACUCACAGGGUUUAAAGGGUGCGUCGGCGGCGGGAGAAGACAGUUGUGAAAUCGCUGGGCUCAACCCAUGCAAUUGCGAGUGAUACUGUUCUGCUUGAAGCAGGGUGAGGUAAGCGGAAUGUGGCGUGUAGCGGUGAAAUGCAUAGAUAUGCCAUAGAACACCGAUUGCGAAGGCACCUUGCUGGGCCUGUUUUGACGCUGAGGCACGAAAGCGUGGGGAGCAAAUAGG
rnacentral:rRNA from 1 species